rnacentral:lncRNA from 1 species
CUCAAUGUUGUUUAGUUCAUCCAAGAUUGAAGAUUGGCUGAACUAGAUCAUCAAGGAACAAUCUUAAUCAACGGGUAACCGUUGCUAUCAGAUGAAAAUGCCUUCCCUGGAGAUGGUAGGAGAUGAGAUUUGGGGUGUGAAGGAUUAACUUAGGAAGCUUGUAAAACUAGAGGGUGGUGUAAAAUUCCUAACCAGUUCGCAUAAAUGGGUACGUCCAUUAAAAAAAUGUUGGCCCUGCCAAUGGUAUAAUCAGUUACAAAACGGUCGUUCUGAUGUUGAGAGUGUCGAGAGUGGGGUCAUGAGCGGAUUUACCUAGAAUAAUGGGUAGAUUGUAGAUGUUCUCAUACCGUUCUUUCUCUAAAUCAUCUUUGAAGAUGAGAUGUCUGCAGAGGUUUAUUUAUAUUGGUUGGUGGACGGGUUCGCCUCGUCGAACCCGGGCCCUCUUUGGUAUUCUUUCAAGAGUUCCUUCUUCUUCAACGACUACACUAUAGGAGGUGGUGGAGGGUCUUGGGAUUCAGUUGGUUGACUCGAUCUGCCUUCUAGAGUGGUGGUGCGGGGUGAUAGGGAGUCAAAAACAUCUAUAAUGGGGCUUCAAGUUGGUGAGCUGGGGGGUAGUGGAGCUAUUAUAAUUAGUUGGUGAAUAUGGAAUUUAAAGCACGAAACUUGUAAUUCUAUAAUAGAACCACCAAUUAUCACCCAAAAUACUCUAAUUAAGUGAAACAAACAAUUUUGGAUGAAAACAAACUCAAUUGAGGUGAGUUAUUUCCAAACAGCCCCAAAAAUUACAUAAACAAUCUCAACCAAAUAAACAGCCUUGAAACGAG